GUAUAUUCAGUGACACCUAUACUAACACUGAGAAAAUAAAGAGAAGAUUUACAUGGCUCCUGCACAAGGAUGACACGCAAAUUCAAAUGUCAGGUGCUCCACAUUUCU